GACGAACGCUGGCGGCGUGCUUAACACAUGCAAGUCGAGCGGUAAGGCCCUUUCGGGGGUACACGAGCGGCGAACGGGUGAGUAACACGUGGGUGACCUGCCCUCAGCUCUGGGAUAGGCCUGGGAAACCGGGUCUAAUACCGGAUAUGACUCCAUGACGCAUGUUGUGGGGUGGAAAGCCUUGUGCGGCUGAGGAUGGGCCCGCGGCCUAUCAGCUUGUUGGUGGGGUGAUGGCCUACCAAGGCGACGACGGGUAGCCGGCCUGAGAGGGCGACCGGCCACACUGGGACUGAGACACGGCCCAGACUCCUACGGGAGGCAGCAGUGGGGAAUCUUGCGCAAUGGGCGAAAGCCUGACGCAGCGACGCCGCGUGA
rnacentral:rRNA from 1 species